CCUGGGUAUGGUGGUGCAUACCUGUAAUCCAAGUUACUUGUGAGGCUGAGAAAGAAGGAUUGCAAGUUUGAGGUCAGCCUGGGCAAUUUAGCAAGACUUUUGUCUCAAA
rnacentral:sRNA from 1 species